rnacentral:misc_RNA from 1 species
CGUAAGUAUUAGUACAUGGAGUGUCUGCUGGGAUGUUGUGGAGAGUGUCUGCUGGGAUGUUGUGGAGAGAGUCUUUAUAGACAUUGCUGUCAGCCAAUCGGGUUGAUUGUCGGGUGUCUGAUCGCUGGUCUCGUCCUCAUUUUGAUGAGCAUCAUUCUCUUCUGUUGCUGGCGGCGACAGCGAAGUCGACGAAAGCGAAUGGGCAGAAGUAAAUACCCGAGAGCUACAAUCAGCAUCACCAGACCAGCACCUUAUGUAGCAACUUCACAAGCACCGGCCUACAGUAAGGCAAGAGAUGCAGGAUAUCCAAAUGAUUACUAAACUGAACCGAUGCAGCAUGCAAGAGUUAUCUACCCUGUCUGGAGAUCACUACAAUAUAAUUCCCAACAAUAUUAUGUUAUAGACCAUUCACAUUUAUGGACAUUUUCACAACUGUACAAACUUUUAAUUCUAGGUUGUUUUUAGCUACCCCUUCCAGGUUCCCCUAAAAGCAUACAUAAAAAUGUUGAUUUGUAGAAAUAUGUUUUGGGAAAAUAGUUUACUUUUAAAAAUGUUUAAGCUAGAAUUCACUCUGUCCCCACUAAGGAAUAUUUUGCACACUUGUGAAAGUGUUGAUGAUUGUAUAUGUGGACCUGAGAAUCUCUGACAAAUGGAAAAUGUGAUUUUCAUACUCUCCAAACAUACUGGUGUUUGAUUGUGAAAUGUGCAAGUGCUUGUUGAUCAUUGUGGAUUAGACAUUUUAUGAACAUGCUGGUGAUUGAAUCAUUGACCAUUCACUUUUACAAUAUGCUGAUAUUAAAAUUAUAUGGUCUUCACCAGGUCAAAUUUAAAUGACAUUUUUGUUUAGAAAGGUAUCUUCCCUAUUGAAGAAUAAUUAUCUUAAUUAAAAAUUUUUUAAAUGCCACUGCAUAAAGGAUAAUAUAGUUAUCUUAAAGGCAGGGCCUUUAAUAUGUUAUGGCAUUAAGUUCAAAUUUGAAAUGAUUCUCUGGUGAUGAAGCCAUCAAAAUGUCAAGGUCAUAGAAUGUUAUGUCAGAAGGCACUAAUCCUUGCCCAUGACCCAUAUAUAUAUUGUUAUAUUAUUUCUUGCCAUGUAUUGUGAAAUAUAAUGUAAAAAUAUGAAAGGAAUGUCAUUCUUCCUUUAAAAUGUAGUAAAACUAGCACGUAAAUGAGUGUUGCAUGGGUGUGUGUGUCUUCAUGGGUGCGUGGGUGUGUGCCACCAUGGGUAGCUGUGCAGUAUAUUUUUUUCAUUACAAAAUACUGAUCAGAAACAAUAACUUAUUAUAGUCUUAAGAGUAAAAUUAAUGUAUAUUUGUACAAACAGAUUCUUAAUGUGGAUGAAAGAAUUUGGUUGAAUGGAAACACAAUUAUUUAAAGUAACUAGUAUUCCCAUGAAUUCACAUACAAAUUAAAUGGAAGAUUAGGGUUGUGUUUUUUAUAGAUAAAAUCCUGGGGCCUAAUUCACUAAACUCUCGCAACUUUGCGAUAUCACAGUGCAAUGCUAAAAGACUUGCAAAGAGGAUGCUUUGUUGUCUAACAGAGCCUAAGAGAACUUUGUGAAUUAGGCCCCUGGAAAUAAAAAUUUUUUAAAGCCUAAGCCACUCAUAUUUUAUUAUUAUUAUUUAUUUUAUUUUUAUUAGAUUCAAAAUAUAAAACACAAAUCGAAAUAAGACUUGUCUUCCACCUCUCACCACUGUGUGAAUGUCUGUGGAAUAGUUCAAAGUAAAUAGUAACAUGGUAGUUCUUUACCGUAGGUAGUUCUUUGUUUGACAUGUUCUGGAGAGUGAGCAGAGGCUGCAGCCCAGUGAUUAUUAUCUUCAGUAUCAGGCACACAUACAGGCAUUUUAGCAGGUGUGGUGGUGAGCAAAGUUUAUAGAGUUGAGUCAUGCUUGCCCGGACUAUUUGUAUUGAAAAAAGAAAAUGCUCAAGCAGGGAGGGGUUUUGACCCCAGAAAUCUUCCCAGUACACAUGCACACUUGAGUACCAUGCAUCGUGAUUAACUAUGCAUGUUUUAGAGAUUGCUAAACAAUUCAAAAUUGUAAAUAGUACUUUAAAAUAAAAAAUAAUUAAUGAUUAGAAACUCGCCAAUUAAAACAAGAAUUGACAACAAAAUGUUUUGUUUCUGAACUCUCCAUCCAAUCAGUGUGAAGUAUCCUGAACUUCAUUGAAAACACAACACCCAGUUUCCCCAAUUGUUUUUGCAAUUGCGUGUAUGUAUAAAACGCACAAUAACUCUAACCCUGAAUACAAUUUUAUUUUAUUUUUAUUUAUUACUCACCAGAAUACAUCCAGUUCAGAGCUCCUAGAAUUUCUAUAAAAUGCACUAGGUAUGGGAUCAGUUAUUAAAUUUUUUUACUAGCCAUAAUUUAAAAUUCACUAGCCCAAAAUUACUUUAACUUAAUACAAUUUUAGUAAAUAAUAGUAAUAAUCAGAUAUGUCACCUAAAGAGGGAGAUAACGCUUAA